UACGAAGGGUGCAAGCGUUACUCGGAAUUACUGGGCGUAAAGCGUGCGUAGGUGGUUUGUUAAGUCUGUUGUGAAAGCCCCGGGCUCAACCUGGGAAUGGCAAUGGAUACUGGCAAGCUAGAGUGCGGUAGAGGGUAGUGGAAUUCCCGGUGUAACGGUGAAAUGCGUAGAGAUCGGGAGGAACACCAGUGGCGAAGGCGGCUACCUGGACCAGCACUGACACUGAGGCACGAAAGCGUGGGGAGCAAACAGG
rnacentral:rRNA from 1 species